rnacentral:rRNA from 1 species
GACGAACGCUGGCGGCGUGCUUAACACAUGCAAGUCGAACGGAAAGGCUCCAGCUUGCUGGAGUACUCGAGUGGCGAACGGGUGAGUAACACGUGGGUGAUCUGCCCUGCACUUCGGGAUAAGCCUGGGAAACUGGGUCUAAUACCGGAUAGGACCGCACUUUGGUGUGUGUGGUGGAAAGGUUUUUCUGGUGUGGGAUGAGCUCGCGGCCUAUCAGUUUGUUGGUGGGGUAAUGGCCUACCAAGACGGCGACGGGUAGCCGGCCUGAGAGGGUGGACGGUCACAUUGGGACUGAGAUACGGCCCAGACUCCUACGGGAGGCAGCAGUGGGGAAUAUUGCACAAUGGGGGAAACCCUGAUGCAGCGACGCCGCGUGGGGGAUGAAGGCCUUCGGGUUGUAAACUCCUUUCGCUAGGGACGAAGCUUUUUGUGGCGGUACCUGGAGAAGAAGCACCGGCUAACUACGUG